AGAGUUUGAUCAUGGCUCAGGAUGAACGCUAGCGGCAGGCCUAACACAUGCAAGUCGAGGGGCAGCACGGUGUAGCAAUACACUGGUGGCGACCGGCGCACGGGUGCGUAACGCGUAUGCAACCUACCCAUAACAGGGGGAUAACACUGAGAAAUUGGUACUAAUACCCCAUAACAUCAGGACCGGCAUCGGUUCUGGUUGAAAACCCGUCGG
rnacentral:rRNA from 1 species